GAGGCGGUUGUGCCGGGCGGUUGGCUGCGCGAGCGGCCGCCGCGGACUUUGCCUGGAAACUUUUCGCCGCGCCCCGGGCGAGGCCCGGGAAGGGCAGGGAGAGCGAACAGGGCGCCGACCGCUGGCUUCCCGCCCCCCGAGGCCGCGCGGGUCGUCGCGCUGGGCCCCCAGGGCUGGCGGUGGAGCUCGGUGCGCGGAGCCCCGCGUGCCCCGGGAACCGUUACUUCCGAGCUGAUGCGCCGAAGCGGAGAGCGCGGACUUCUAGGCUGAGGUUAGGAUGCCUGAGUGCAUGUUGCCGCCUCCUCCUUUCUCUCCGAUGAAACUUGAGCUGCAAGUCCGGAAACCCUGUGGACACUAGCCCAGCGCACUGUAGCCUUCGGGUCCACGCCUCCUGGCCUCCGGGAGAAGGCACCAUCUUAAAAACCCACUCUGCGCCUGCAUCCCCCUUCCAGCACGAUUUGUGCCCUGGUGCCUUAGCUGGAUCAAUUAUUGUGGAGCCACAUGUCACAGCAGUGUGGGGAAAGAAUGUUUCAUUGAAGUGUUUAAUUGAAGUGAAUGAAACUAUAACCCAGAUCUCAUGGGAGAAGAUACAUGGCAAAAGUACACAGACUGUUGCAGUUCAUCAUCCUCAGUAUGGAUUCUCUGUUCAAGGAGAUUAUCAGGGAAGAGUCUUGUUUAAAAACUAUUCACUUAAUGAUGCAACAAUUACUCUGCAUAACAUAGGCUUCUCAGAUUCUGGAAAAUAUAUAUGCAAAGCCGUUACAUUCCCACUUGGAAAUGCUCAGUCCUCUACAACAGUGACUGUGUUAGUUGAACCCACAGUGAGCCUGAUAAAAGGGCCGGAUUCUUUAAUUGAUGGAGGGAAUGAGACAGUAGCAGCCGUUUGUGUAGCAGCCACUGGAAAGCCAGUCGCACAGAUUGACUGGGAAGGUGAUCUUGGUGAAAUGGAAUCUAGUACAACUUCUUUUCCUAAUGAAACAGCAACGAUUGUCAGCCAAUACAAGCUGUUUCCCACAAGAUUUGCUCGAGGAAGGCGAAUUACUUGUGUUGUAAAACAUCCAGCCUUAGAAAAGGACAUUCGCUACUCUUUCAUACUAGACAUACAGUAUGCUCCUGAAGUUUCAGUAACAGGAUAUGAUGGAAAUUGGUUCGUGGGAAGAAAAGGUGUUAACCUCAAGUGUAAUGCUGAUGCAAACCCUCCACCCUUCAAGUCCGUGUGGAGCAGGUUGGAUGGACAAUGGCCUGAUGGUUUAUUGGCGUCAGAUAAUACUCUUCAUUUUGUCCAUCCAUUGACUGUCAAUUAUUCUGGCGUUUAUGUCUGUAAAGUAUCAAAUUCCCUUGGUCAAAGAAGUGAUCAAAAGGUUAUCUACAUUUCAGAUCCUCCUACCACCACCACCCUUCAGCCGACAGUUCAGUGGCAUUCCUCACCUGCUGACGUCCAGGAUAUAGCAACAGAGCAUAAAAAAUUGCCCUUUCCUUUGUCAACUUUGGCAACACUUAAGGAUGACACAAUUGGCACCAUCAUUGCUAGUGUAGUGGGUGGGGCUCUCUUCUUAGUGCUUGUGAGCAUUUUAGCUGGGGUAUUCUGCUAUAGGAGACGACGGACGUUUCGUGGAGACUACUUUGCCAAAAACUACAUUCCACCAUCAGACAUGCAGAAAGAAUCACAGAUUGAUGUUCUUCACCAGGAUGAGCUGGAUUCUUACCCAGACAGUGUAAAAAAGGAAAACAAAAAUCCAGUAAACAACCUGAUCCGCAAAGACUACUUAGAGGAGCCUGAGAAAACUCAGUGGAAUAAUGUAGAGAACCUCACUAGGUUUGAAAGACCGAUGGAUUACUAUGAAGAUCUAAAAAUGGGAAUGAAGUUUGUCAGUGAUGAACGCUACAAUGAAAGUGAAGAUGGUUUGGUUUCUCAUGUAGAUGGCUCCGUAAUUUCCAGGAGGGAGUGGUAUGUCUAACAGCCACUGACGCGACUUCACUAUGUACAAGGUUUCAUUCACACUAGUUGACCAUUUUCAGAUUGUUCAUACUUUUUCUUGAGGAAGAAUAAGCUUUUUCAAGUUGAUUUCGAGCUUACUUUUUAUAUUCUGAUCUGACAAAUGAAAAUGUAAAACCUGGGUUCAAUGUAUCUGAGCUGCUUUACAGUUUUCACUGCUAUACUACUGUCUCAAGAUUUAAAUUCUAAUGCAGAGUACUUUAUUGGUCUGAGGCACACAGACAUCCCGCUUACGCAGACCUCAUCCAUAGCAGUGGCUGGAGCCGUGAUUGGAGCUGUCCUGGCCCUCUUCAUCAUCACCGUCUUUGUGACUGUGUUGCUGACGCCUCGGAAAAAGAGACCGUCCUAUCUUGACAAAGUAAUCGACCUUCCACCUACACAUAAGCCACCCCCUGUAUAUGAAGAACGAAUUCCUUCUCUCCCUCAGAAAGACCUUCUUGGCCAGACUGAACACUUGCCUUUGCAGACUCAGUUCAAGGAGAAAGGAGCUGGUGGUCUUCAGCCCUCUAAUGGACCAAUUAGCAGGAGAUUUGACUAUGAGGAUGAGAGCACAAUGCAAGAAGAUGGAACUCAGCGCAUGUGCCCCCUUUAUAGCCAGAUGUGCCACCAAGACCGAAGCCCUCGCCAACAUCACCCACGCAACCCCGAGAGACUCUACAUCAACCCACGAGAACAUUAUGUGUGAUUUUCCUUGUCAUGAAGGGUGUUCUAACAAAUGUUUAUUCUUAGACCUGAGAGACACUGAGGCAUCUAAGUGAUUUCAGUCUUAAAGUGUGUUGCAACGAUCGAUGGACGAAUCAGAGCUAAGAGUAGAUUGCUUAACAUCAUUAAGGGUUCCUUAACCACCAGUUGUGUGUGUGAGCUCACCUGUAGCUUCACUUCCCUGUAACUCUGAAGUUUAGCUACUAACACUUGGCCUCCAGUGGUGUGUUCAUUUGGAGGGGAAGGCCCCAGAUGCUGGCGACUGCUUUGCUUGGGUCUCAGGCACUGCUUGUCUGUCCUUUAAACAGGUGGGAAAACGAGCCCCACAUCCAGUUCACUGAUUAUUAAGCUGGGAUUUUGAUUUCCCUAGCCUCCCAGUACAAUAACAAUACCUGCGUACAGAGGCCAGAGGAGAGGAGCGGACUGCUGUAACCAAUGGUGACAAAGGCAAGGGGAAGCGGCAAGCCUCUGUGUGCUUGUGAACCCGUGUUAGUGCCCCGUGUCCUUCCUAGCCAGUAGGCUCCAAGGGCUCCUCGGGGAUGUCUGCCCUCUGUCCCCUUGGGACCAGCUGUGUCUACUUUGUCCCUGUUGCUGCAGACUUGUGUUCCACUGACCCAAUUAGCUCGUUUCCCACCUCUUCAGUCCAUAAAAAUCCCUGCUGAAAUGGGAUGCGGACAUUUUAGCCAGGUUUCCAUUCGCUCGCACAAGACAAGCUCAGUGCUCACCUCUUAUAGCUUUCAAGGCCAGCUCACCACACAGGCUUUAGCUAGCUACUCUUCUUCAUUCUUUACUUUUCUUCCAUGUCUUAUCUACCUCAAAAAAAAAAAAAAUAGAGAGGAGAAAAAAAAAAGCCUAUUAGAAAUCAGUACAAAAUAACCCUCACUCUUAAAAGCCUGGUGGAAAAUUUGAAAACUAUUUUUUUCUUUUGUAAAGCUACUUCAGUAUGACAUGCUUGUGGAAUCUACAUGUCCUCUAUUCUCCUCCCCAUGUCACCUGGUCGGAAUAGUAGCCUCUCUGCCAGGGUUGACAGCUACAAAGCUACACUGCGAUGCUGUGCUGCCUGCUCCUCCUGUCUGCCUGGAGUUCUAGAACUUAUCUCCCUUGGCCAGCUGUCCAUCACCGAGAUUGGCAAUGGAGAGCACGGAGGGAAACUUAAAGGCAAAGCCAUCCUUGAUCCAUCUUGAGAGUAGUGUCACUUUACUGUGUAUCCUGGAAAGGCCAGAGUGUGUCACUGGUAUGAAGAAAUAAAACACUGUAACUUGUUACAUAAUUUGUAAAAAGAGGACAGUAGAAACGGGAAAAUAAAUAGUAUACAUUUCCAGCCUAUGCUUCAGGAGGAAAUGAGAAUAUUACCAGGUUGAUAGUGACAUGCCAAAGACACCUUAUACACGCUGUGCUGGCUGGGAUUCUCCUCUGCUUCUUUUUGUUUGUUUGUCCAGCUUUGUGGGAUAAGUCAUAGAGGGGGUUCUGCAGUAAUAUACCCACCCAUGCCAUUCCCUGGAUGAUGGGUAGUUCUGGGAGCAAGGAUGCUCAAAUUUCAUCAUAUAUCUCCGGUAGGAUUAGUGUUUUCAGAGGCUACGGCUCCAGAGCACCUAGAGUUCCACUGGUCCUCUGCCCCAUCGCUGGAGUACUUUGGAUUUACUUUAUUGCCUUUAUAGCAAAGAUGAUGCCACCUUCAUUGCUCAGGAUGCCAUUACUAAGCCAAUGUAACUAAUGUUCUAGGAUUCCCUGUGAUUGUUUUCCAAUAGUUAGGGUUGUACCGAGAGUUUUCUUUGACACUGAAGCAUUUCAUAUUACCUAGAUGCUAGGGCCCAGAGUGCAGCAACCCCUCCUUCAGAAGGCUUUAAAAAUAUCUUAAUGCUGAAGACAGUUUCUAAAGUCCUGCUGGGAAGCAGAUUGUAGAAUCCACACCACAAAAGUGCAUUGUGGAGGCAGGGAGAGGGGUGGGAUGUCUUCGUUUGUGCCAGAGAAAAGGAUUUGGAAGCCUUUUGUCCUGUCCUUAGCACUGUCCCAGGAGGAACCUACUGUCUACCUUUCAACCAUUCUUAGUAUUGUUGUGAAAAAGUUAUUUUAGGGUGUGGAUACUGUCUGGUGCCAGCAAGUUCACUGUUGUCUGUGUGUCUGUUAGCUAUGAAAAGUCCUUGGGCAAACUGCUAUAUUUGAUAGUUGUUGGCCCCAAACAUGGGUCACAUAAGCUUCAUAAUAGCUUAUUCUAGCGCCUCCUGUCUGUUCUCUAUUUCAAAAGAAAAAGUUAGCUAAAUACAGAACAGCUUUAAAAGGGUUUGAUUAACCAGUCCCCUCAACUGAAGAAUGCCGUCCAAAAUUAGUCUGCUGACCUCUGUAUUUGGAGCCCUUGACGGUGGCAUUUAAAUUAGGAAACUAGACUGUAAGUGAGGUUGAGGGGCAUAUCCACAGCUGGUCAUGGUCUCCCCGUUACUGUUUUAUUAAAGUUCACUGGGACAGAAGUAAAUCCACAUAGCAGUUGCCCAUGGACUGCUGCCACUGCAUUCCAAGGAGGCAGGGGGACAUGCUCACCUUCACCACAGCCCCCAUUGCCUAUCUCACCUGUCAACAUUAUGACUACUACAGUAGCAGACCACCAGAUCCGCUGCAUCUCAGUUCCCUGAAGCAUCUGUACUGGCUAGGAUCAGCCUGACUUAAUGGGAUACGAAUGCAAACAGCAGUGACGUGUUGUGUCCUCCAUGAGAGUUCCCUCCAUGCCUGGCAUUUUGUAUGGUCUAAAUGUGAGGAUAUCGACAUGCUUUGGAGUAUAUGACAUUCUUACCUGUGCUAGGCAUCUAUAUUACUACACACACACACACACACACACACACACACACACACAUGAGAGAGAGACAGACAGACAGACAGACAGACAGACAGACAGACAGAGACAGAGACUAAAGAAAGACCCAUUAAGUGGCCCAGUUCUUGCCAUCAUUAUUAUUAUCUGUGUCCUGGUCACUGCUAAACAGGACCAAGUCCUUCACCCCAAGUUGUCUUUCACAGAAGAUUAAUUUUCAAGAAUUGUGUUUGUUGUUGCUUGUCUUCUCUUGAACUCACUCUCCCCUUUGUGCUGUGCCUGCUGUACACAGUAGGGCCUGCCUUGAAAUGAGAGGAUCCCCUGUUGUUCUCAGAACAACAGAUCAGUUCUAUACUCAACUUUAACCCCUACUGUAGAAUCUUAGGAGAAUAAGUUAAAGUACCUCAGGUAUCAAUUGUUCCCACCCAUGAACCAGAGGCUUUCCCUGUCAACUGCGCAGAACUGUGGUAAAAACGGAACUAGGGAAUGGUGGGUGAGAAACUAACUUCUCUCCAAACUGACAAGUGCCCAGGACUCCACUGUUUGUACUGAACUUCAGCUUCCGGUGCCUUUGCCAGUAUUUAGAGUCCUGGAAUGUUCCCGGGGAGAGCCUUCAGCAGUGACCAAUUGCAAGUACAGACAUUCCAUUAGUAUAAUAAGCAUUGAUCCCAUAAAGUAUUUCACAUCUGGGCCAUUGAGGUGGCUCCUCCAGUAAAGGCACCUACCACGCAAGCCUGGGACCCUGAGUUCAAACCCUGGGGAUAGCAUAGAAGUCAAGAAGAGACAAGGGCCACCACACACCUCAUGCACAUGCAAUAAAAAUAAUAAAUAUUGUUUAAAAAGGUUCACCUCUGUCAGGCUUUAGGUAGGAUUGAAGAGACAUGUUAGAAUUCGUGGUUGCUCCUGUCUUACAAAACACUAUUAAUGAGUAGCUGUACUGAGUGCAGGAUGGUCGGGGUUCUAGGGCCAGCAUCUUAUAUGAUCAUCUCACCAGAUAGGCUCAUACCCUUGUUUUGUCCUCUUAGAAGAACUCCCUUGGGAACAGACAGGUUCCUACUCCCACACCACCCGGUUGUAGGUCCGUAGAUCACCAGUGAGCUUUCAGCUGCUUUGUUUGGCAGGGAAUGCAGUUGUCUUGGUUUUCUUUCUAGGGCAGGAUAAUAGCCUGCACAUAAAACUAUAAGAGCUGUUACAAGCAGAAAGCAAAUGCAUGGGCUCCCUUGUUGCCUGUAAAUAUCCGUACGUACCCCUCUGUCCAUUAGGUUAAGGGACAAAGGCCGGCCAAACAAAUCAGAUAAAGCAGCCUAUACCAAUUGGUUUGGUUUUACAGGGCACUGACUUCUAACAUCCUUCCCUAGUCUUAAUUGGACACACUUCUUGCUGUUUGUCUCUGUUCAAUAAGGACUCGGCACCACCCAGGGUGGCAACAUUCAUAGCUGGAAAGAAGCCAGAGAAGGGUAGAAAGGAUGAAAGCUUGAGAUGCCCAGGUCACCACCUGCUCCUCUCAGCUCUGUGUUUCUCUUCUGGGGCUUGAAUGACAGUCAAGUCUUCAUCCUUAGGUCAUUUGAAGUCUAAAAGAAUCCAGGACUUUUAUCCAUAUUAAGCCCAAAGCUAAUGUUUGCAAACCCAAUUAACUAUAAACUGUUACUACAGUAGUCAUGUUACAGCAGAUGAAAUAUGUGGGUUUCUUCCACUCGGGAAUAUACUCUGAACCUCCUCGUCAGCUGCUAAGGCUGUUUUGGCAGCCUUUGAGAUAUGUGAGGGCUGCGUGCUUCCAUUCCAACCUCACCCGAUAAUACUUUACACUGGAAUUAAUCUUUAGCCCAAGGACUAUAUCACGUGUACUAAUAAGCCAGGAAGCUGCAGAACAGUCCACCAGUCUUCUAAACAGUUGAGAGUCCUGAUUCUGCCCUUCCAGGCCACCCAACAGCAUCCCUAUACCUAUCUGCAAGAGCUAUCAGAAGUAAGUCCAGCAGUGCUCCCUGAUUCAGUGAGCCAGAUUCCUGUUCUCUUUGAUUUCUACACAGAGAAUAAGUCAGGUAUCUCAGUCUGUUGGGCUUGUUCAUUGGGGGACUGGUCCUACAUGAUUUGAGCCAUUAAACGAUUAAUACCACCCAAUUGACCAUAGAAAAAUAGUCGCUCACUGGAUUAACAAAGCCUCAAGGGUCGGGCUACAAAUAAAGCAUGGGCUACCAGUCUCUGGCGUGAAGAGAGCUUCGCAAAUGCUGUCGGGCCCUGGAAGAUGUACACGCCUGAUUAGGAUGCAUUGGGUAAUAACCAACCAUCCCUAGAGGCACACUGAAACUGAUCGGCAUGUUUGAAAAUAAUUAUAAAAGCAAAAUCCAGUGUAAGAGGAUUUGGUAAAGAUUUCUCAGGUUGUCAUGCCCUCAUACUGGGAUGGGGGUGGGGCUAGGGCUACUCACUGCUCUGAAGUCAAGAACCUGUUGAAGAGUUACUGACAUUUAUCCAUAGUAACAAGUGUUAUCGUGGGUUGCACUGUCAGCACUAUGCAGAUUUAUGGGAAAAAGCAAAAUAUCUGAGUUGACAACCAACUGACAGGCUUCUAUCCUCUUGGGCUACAAUCCCGCAGUGAAGUUAUCACAGUUGCCACAAGGAAACUCUGCACAGGGGGCAGGUCACUUAGAUAUGAAGAGAGCUGGGCUUGGUCUUUCAGGUUCUAAUUACUAUUGCAAACAGUCUUCUGUAAACAAAGGGGCCUUUCUGAGUUAGGUCAGUCUCCUGCCAGUCUAAGGUGGGAGGCUACACAGUUGCCCCUUCAUGGAUGUCCCUAAAACAUUUGUGGCCUACGCUGGAUUGAGGGUAUCUCGUGGAAUUUGGCUGUGGAAAGUGAUUAGAGGAGACCCCGAGGGAAAUCCUCCCUGGGAAUCCAUAUCAUCAGAUUUGCUACAGUGGCUUGGGACUGAGCCCUGUCCCAACUCAGAUGUAUCUGACAGCCGUGAAGAGAUGAAUUCUCUGUCUUCCUCAGAGGUUAAUUUCCCUUAAUAGCACUCAGUAGAUCUAUGAAGCCCAGGGUUACACACAGUUUUUCAACUGAAUGGACACCAUUGUUUUGGUUUUCAGUGCUUUUUUUCAAGGAACAAUAAGGAUUUUAAAUCCACUCGAGUGUAUUGAUGAAACUAAAUUAAAUUCCUCUCUGAAAUCGUACAAACAGCCCCAGCAUUCAUUAUAUUUUAACUAGAGGCAGCAGAGGUUUGUUCUGCAAGUACUAGUUUACUCCAGGGCACAGUACAGCUCAGCCACACCUCUGUACUCUCACAUAUUCUCGACAUAAGUGCAAAAUUCCCUUAAAUUCCCUCGCUUCAGUGCCCAGACGACUGUCCAGCAUCUUGGGUUUCACUGAAUACUAAAAAAAUCCCAAUUCCUUUGUAAAAGACCUAUAUUAAGCAGCAGGUAUUGCCGCUAGAUCCCCUAUUGUUCCAUUUGUCUCUAAAGGUUCCUAUCACCCCUCUCCCUUCUGCUCCUAGCUCUAAGCUAGUGCUAUCCAACAUUCCAUCUCCAGCCCAUUUGCUCAGUCUCCAUGUGGUCCUCGCCUCUUAACAUGUCUGCUUGGCAGCUCUGCCCUUCGAGCCAGCGGUUCUCUGUCUCACAAGGCUGCACUGAUGGGGGUGGGGAAUAAGAUGGCUAAGGGCUAGCUUCAAGUGAGAUCCCUCUUUCAAAGUGGUUUCUGCAAAAGCCCCUGGACUUAGAAAUCAGAAACUCUAUAGCUAUUAUAUUUUUCUAUUCUUGUUUUGCUAUUUUUACUUCUGAAACAUGAUCUCUGUCUGAAAAGACGCUUUCUCCGGGUUCUCACUCUCUCCCUAUUGACCCCCUCACACUGAAAGUUCCACCUUAUGCUCUGAACUUCCUACGCUGACCCAAAACUAAGUCUCUCAGUGGGAACCCCAACUCUGGUACUUCUAUUUAAAAAUAGUAAGAUCUGCUUCGGAGGAAACUCUAGCUGUUCCCCAGGAAAACCAGUGAGGCCCCACACUGGCUCUGUCCAGGUCUCACAGCAAGCCUUGCUUCUUGAAAUCUAAACUGAUUUAAUGUAGUCCCUUCACGGUACCUGGGUGUUGAAUCCUGGGUAAUGAAUGGCAGAAGUAUUUUGCACAGCUUGUAUUUCAGUAAUGGACAAUGGGUAAUCUAGACAGCCUUUAAGUAGGAGUGAGCCAAACUAGAUCUGGAAUCCCUUUACCCGUACUGUUUGCAAAAGAAGUAAACCUUGCUGUCUUUUUAUAGUAGAAAUCCAUUGCUCGUUUGUUGAAUUAGUUGCAUUUUGUUGUAUAGAAAGAGUUUGAUGCUGUGUAUUUCUGUUUGUGAGAAAAGACCCAAGUUAUAAAUUUAAGCAUUAGAACUGUAAAUAGAGUAGUUGGGUGGAUAAAAUUCUAUCUCAGAUGUAAAACACAAAAGUAAACACAAAGAUCAGCUUAGAUUUUGAUAUUAUAUUUUAAAUACUAGAUGUUAAUCUGGCGGGUUUUAGACAGUCCUUAAGUUUCCAGAAAUUGUCUUUUAUUUUUGCAUUUUGAACUAUAUGGCUCUAGAUAUCUUGAAUAAAGUCUUUUAUUGUCUAUUUUUUAUUUCUGUUAUCAAUAAAUCAGUUAUUAAACUGCA